AAACGGCUGGGUGGGAAGCAGGCUAGCAGGGGCCUCUGGCCUUGCUGAGGGUCCCUGUUUCCCGCUUUCCUUCCUUUUCACCCAGUAAAACCCUGCUUUACUCACCCUUCAAACCAUCUAUGAGCCUAAAUUGUCAUGGUCGUGGAACGGACAAGGACCCAGUCUUCAGCUGAACUAAGGGAAAGUCCCGCUUUUUGGCGCGCAACAGGGGAGCUCAAGAAACAGGCCUCACUCACGACAAAGGGAAGUAACCACGCCCCUAAGAAGGCACACCUUUGUUGCAGUUAGUACACAAUUAAAGCAACUCUCCAAGUUUUACCUUAAAGUUCAAAAUUGCUAGGGGUUGAAACUACUAGAAAUGUCUUUACAUGCAAGCCUUUAAUAAUUAAGUAAGGUAUACUCCUGUGAUCAAGACUUUGAGCAUAUUUGUUUCUCUCUGCCUGGUUCCUCUAGAAAUUGGAAACUAUCAUUGUCAGCAUAACCUCAUUCUUCUUGGACACAGGACAAGAAUUCAGGACGCACCGAAUGCAGGAACACAGACAAACUCCAUUUCCCAAUCCCUUUGCAAUCUGCAUUGAACCAUGAAUCAAGUUCUUGAUAAAGGAGUGAAAAUGAUAAGUCUAAAGCAAUGAAAAACUUCUGUAUUGACUGCACAUGCCUUCGUUUCUUCUACCCUGCUUCUUUCAUGCCUGCUUAUCUGAAUGACACCAGGAUGACAUUUAAGGCACAUCUGAAGAUGGGGAAACCACAGCACAGAAAAAGGCUGGGCCCUUGAAUCAAUAAAUGAGGGAGAACUACUCAAGAGAACAAAACCACCAGCAA
rnacentral:lncRNA from 1 species